UUAGUAACGGCGAGUGAAGCGACAAAAGCUCAAAUUUGAAAUCUGGCGCCUUCGGUGUCCGAGUUGUAAUUUGAAGAAGGUAACUUUGGUUUUGGCUCUUGUCUAUGUUCCUUGGAACAGGACGUCACAGAGGGUGAGAAUCCCGUGCGAUGAGAUGCCCAAUUCCAUGUAAAGUGCUUUCGAAGAGUCGAGUUGUUUGGGAAUGCAGCUCUAAGUGGGUGGUAAAUUCCAUCUAAAGCUAAAUAUUGGCGAGAGACCGAUAGCGAACAAGUACAGUGAUGGAAAGAUGAAAAGAACUUUGAAAAGAGAGUGAAAAAGUACGUGAAAUUGUUGAAAGGGAAGGGUUUGAGAUCAGACUUGGUAUUUUGUAUGUUUUACUCUCGGGUGAGGCCUCUGCAGUUUACUGGGCCAGCAUCAGUUUGGAUGGUAGGAUAAUGACAUUGGAAUGUGGCUCU
rnacentral:rRNA from 2 species